rnacentral:rRNA from 1 species
UGGGGAAUAUUGGACAAUGGGCGAAAGCCUGAUCCAGCCAUGCCGCGUGUGUGAAGAAGGUCUUCGGAUUGUAAAGCACUUUAAGUUGGGAGGAAGGGCAGUAAGUUAAUACCUUGCUGUUUUGACGUUACCAACAGAAUAAGCACCGGCUAACUUCGUGCCAGCAGCCGCGGUAAUACGAAGGGUGCAAGCGUUAAUCGGAAUUACUGGGCGUAAAGCGCGCGUAGGUGGUUCAGCAAGUUGGAUGUGAAAUCCCCGGGCUCAACCUGGGAACUGCAUCCAAAACUACUGAGCUAGAGUACGGUAGAGGGUGGUGGAAUUUCCUGUGUAGCGGUGAAAUGCGUAGAUAUAGGAAGGAACACCAGUGGCGAAGGCGACCACCUGGACUGAUACUGACACUGAGGUGCGAAAGCGUGAGGAGCAAACAGGAUUAGAUACCCUGGUAGUCCACGCCGUAAACGAUGUCGACUAGCCGUUGGGAUCCUUGAGAUCUUAGUGGCGCAGCUAACGCGAUAAGUCGACCGCCUGGGGAGUACGGCCGCAAGGUUA